GAGCUGAUCACCAGUACCACCCAGAAAGUGGUCCACGCCGGCGACGAACACAAGAUGCGGGAGGAGUAUCACAACAGGAAGAAUGACUUGCGUGAGCUUAAAAUGCUGCAAAAGCAGGAAAACAAACAGCAUCAAGAUCUCAUAUACAAGUCUCACUGUGCUCGCGAGGAGCAAGAGAGAAAGUUCGAACUCGAUAUGCAGACAUUGGUGAAGAACUAUGAUCAGGACAUGGAAACUCUUAAUAAAACUCAAAAACAGCAGGUAGAGAAAGCUGAACAGAACCAAACAGUAGACAUGAAGAAUGCAGCCAAGCGCCUGAAGAUGGAUCAGGAGAAGGAAUACAAGUUAUUUAAAGAUCAACAGAAGCAGGAAUUGAAGCUGUUGAGGCAAGAAUUGGAUCUCAUGCCAAAGGACAACAAAAAGGACGCCAUCAAGAAGCGAAAGGACCAGAAGGAGGUGGAACUUCAAGAAAAGGAGCGACAGUAUCUGGAGGCCCAAGCCGAGCGGCAGGAGAAACACAUGAAGCAGUUAGCGGAGGUGCACCGCCAGAAGGUGGCGCUACUGGAAAGUCAGUUCCUUCAGCAGAAACAGCAGCUGCUCAGGGGGAGAGAAGCUGCAAUUUGGGAGAAAGAAAAACAACAACUGCAUGAAAAACACCAGCUUGCUAAGAGCCAGCUGAAAGACCUCUUCUUCCUCAAGCGACAUCAGAUGUUGACUAGGCAUCAGAAGGAAGUUGAACAAAUGAAGAGAAGUAACUCUGCCAAGGAAGAUGAAAUGCAGAGGAGGCAUGCUCUAGAGAAGAAGAGACUCCCCAAGAUACAGAAAAGCGAGGCCAAGACUCGUGCUCAGAUGUUCAAACAGAGUCUGAGACUGAGCACAGUAGGCUCGCCAGAAGAUGACAGGGUCAAAAUGAAACAGUUUGAGGAGAAUGAGAAGAAGAGGAUGAAGGCUGAGCAGCAGCGCCAGGAGAUGAAGCACAAGAAACAGUGGGAGGAGCUAGUGUUCCGUAACGAGUCCAGCCUCCGUGAGCUGGAGCAGCUACAGGCUGAAAAGAGAAAGAUGCUGAUGGAACAGGAGACACAGAAAAUAAAGGAACUGGAUGAUCAGUAUGCCAGUGAAUUACGGGAAUGGAAGCAACAAUUGGUGCCUAGGAAACAGAAACUUGAAGAGGAAUUCCAAAGACAAAAAGAUGAACAAGAAAAGUUUUAUGGAACUGUGAUAAUUACAGGAAGUGAAGGAAUGCCCGCCCCACGUCCUGACUCGGGAAGUUUCCGCAAUAAAGAGUCCGUCAAAUCGCGACAUUCGACAGUGAUCUAGUGACUUCCUUGGUUCCUUCUUUUGUAGUGCAGCCGCCACUUCCUGUGAUGAACUUUAAGAGCUGGAUUCCAUCUGCUUCCAUCAUCUGUGCUUUGUCAUGUUUGGUCCUUGCCAAGUUUAAACAAGUCAUAAAACUGUGUUCAGAGUGCAGGCCAUCUGUGACAAAAUGGAAGACAUUUACAUACAUACAGACAGUAAAUUGAAAAGGUUGAUAUUUUAUAAGAGAUGCAUGAGGUUUUUUUUGUUGUUGUUUUUUCAUUCAUAUUUUGCUGUAUCAGAGAGAUGACUAUUUACCUAUAUAAGUUAACAUUCCCAGUGGCCAGUUCAGUGCGCUGAGCAGUCCUUUUUACAGCUAGUCUGUACUUAAUGUGUACAUGUAUCUUCCCGUCUUUACUGUGCUGAUCUACGUAGCAAUAUCAACUGAUCACCCCAUUGGCUGAUCAAAUUCAGCCACGGACGCCAAAAAAUGUGUGUGUGUCAUUUUCAGACAUUGUGUUACAAGUAAAGUCUCACACCGCAUUUUUAUGUCUUGUUAAGUUUAUUGCUGUAAUAAUAUUUAUGUACAGAUGUUAUAUCUGGAGUUGAUAAACUGGUAAUGUAAUAGAGAGUGUACAUGCAAUGGAUUUAGAUGAGCAUUCUGAUCAAGAGCUCUUUCAUACAAGUUUAUGCUAUUUCUUUUUUUUUCUUACAAUGCAUUUCUGUUCAGUUUAUCCAUGCUCUGUAAAAUUAAUCUUUCUCUCAAAUAUCUCUUCACACAUAUAUAUCAAGGUUAUGUUUACAAUUUUAGUCUGAUAAUGAUAGAAAUAUGUGUAAUCUGAUCUUCACUCCAUCUAAUCAUAUUUCUUUGAGCAUAUCUUCAUAAGUAAGAGGAGUUUACCAUUGACAACUAUGAUGCACUGUCCAGCUAGCCUGACGGAGGUACAAGGAUCUGACACCCUCUGUGUCGGAACGCUUUUACUUUACGUGUACUUGUAUACAUAUUCCCACUAAAAGGGCUAUGUUAUUUUAAUAAAUCUAAGAGUACUU
rnacentral:misc_RNA from 1 species